UCCCAUAUGGUGUAGUGGUCAGCAUAGGGCCCUCUCAACUUGAGCGAGGCUUUGACCCCGGUUCGAAUCCGGGUAUGGGAG